GGGGAUGUGGCGAAAUGGCAGACGCAGCGGACUUAAAAUCCGCAGGGAGCAAUCCCGUGAGGGUUCAAGUCCCUCCAUCCCCA
rnacentral:tRNA from 6 species